rnacentral:lncRNA from 1 species
AGGAGGAAGAGGCACCCAAAUUCACUGUCCACUAUUUUAGUGUGCCCUGCCCCCACGCCCCCACCCCCCAGCGGAGGGGAAGGGGCUGGGAAAACGGCAGGAGGAAUCAGCAUUCGACUGCGUAAGGCCAUAUUCUGACAGACAAGUAGCACCGAGAACUGGGCCAGAGUCCCAAAUAGGAAGGGUGAAACGUGGAGCUAGGAGACACCAAGGUCACACUGGGGCUUAGGAGCUUCCAAACUAUUGGGGAGUGAGCAGGAGGAGGGAUGGCAGAAAGGUUCCAGAGAGGAAGGAUGUACAGAGGUAGUUCCCGGGUCCCGUCCUAGCCCGAAACCGGUUUUCCCGGUCCCGCUGCCUUCAGCCCCAAGGCCUCCAACCCGCUGCCCGACAAGCCUUCACAAGCAGCAGCUGGAGAAAGAGAAAGAGAACUGAGAGAAUGGAGUGGGCAAUUCUGGCUCCAAGCCCGGGGCUGCAGCUGGUUCCUUGUGGAGACCUCCAGACAUGGAGGGCUGCUGAGGGGCAGCAGAGAAGUAGGGGAGCACGCACUUUCCAGUCAAGUGACAGGCACCUGACCCAGCACCAACUGUGUCCUUCCCCCAGGAAAGGUCUUGUGGGGGCUUACGAGGAAACACGGCUAGGACCUAAGCUCCCUCCCCAGUAGAUUCAGAGUCCCAGAGACUCCAUUUCUGCCCGCUCCCCAACUCUACCCAGAUAUCCUCUAAUCCUCCCAACGCCGAAGUAGGACUGGGAUCUCGCUGGGAAUCUUUCGGAUUCACUGUCUUCCGUGGCUGCUUCGGGCUCAGACUUAGCCCUUCCAGGGCCCCGCUGUGCUACACUCAGUCCCGCACACGCCACCACCGCGGUUAGUGAGUCUCCAGGAGAGUUUCUCCCCCUCUCGCCUCCCCCCGCCCCGGCCCCCCAGGCCCUUCCUGCCCUCUACUCUACAGCGGCUUCGGCCUGCGCGCCACACGAGCGGCGGAGUGGAUGGAGACAUUUACUCAGGGAGCGCACCCGUUCUCCCACCGACCCAGCAUCUCGGCAGCCCUGGCCUCCCUCCUCCCCCCAGCAUCCGGGGGAGACUGAGCAGAUAGACUCAGCCACAGAGGGAGAGGGAGUGAGAAGACAAAGCCGUCAAAGCCCCAACAGCUUUUUCUCCAGCCCAGAGCAGACGCCGGAGCCCACUCCUUCCAUCUUUGGAACACACCAGUAAUUCACUAAUAACAGGUAAACUGAAUUGAGGGAAGGGCGGCAAGGGGCUGCAAAGAUAGAAGGGCAGCUGCUUCUGGUUAGGUUGAAGACCCUAAAUUAAGGAUAAGGUUUGGGGGACGGCUCAAGAGGAGAGAAGGGGGCGCUAUGAACAAUGAGUAGUUUUUUGGUCCCCUUGUCGUAUCUCUUUGCUAAGAUCUCCAUCCUUGCCUUCUAAUCCACAGACAUUAAUU